rnacentral:rRNA from 1 species
GACGAACGCUGGCGGCGUGCUUAACACAUGCAAGUCGAACGGAAAGGCCGUGCGUUUGUGCUCUGCUCGAGUGGGGAACGGGGGAGUAACACGUGAGUAACCUGCUCUUCACUUUGGGGUAACUUCAGGAAACGGGGGCUAAUACCGUAUAGGAGCUCCUGCUGCGUGGUGGGGGGUGGAAAGUUUCGGCGGGUGGGGAUGGACUCGCGGCUGAUCAGCUUGUUAGUGGGGUAGUGGCUUACCAAGGCUUGGACGGGUAGCCGGCAUGAGAGGGUGACCGGGCACCUUGGGCCUGAGAUAGGGCCCAGUCUCGUACGGGAGGCAGCAGUGGGGAAUAUUGCACAAUGGGCCGACGCCUGAUGCAGAGGCGCCGCGUGCGGGAUGCCGGCCUUCUGGUUGUAAACCGCUUUCGCCUGUGACGAAGCGUGAGUGACGGUAAUGGGUAAAGAAGCACCGGCUAACUACGUG